rnacentral:tRNA from 1 species
GCCUGGGUGGCUCAGUUGGUUAAGUGUCUGACUUUAGCUCAGGUCACGAUCUCACAGUGUGUGGGUUUGAGCCCCGCAUCGGGCU